ensembl:lncRNA FOXG1-AS1 FOXG1 antisense RNA 1
GAGGAAGUUAAGAAGUGGUUAAUCCCUUAUAGCCCAAAGGGGCUUAAUUAUUGAUAACUAGUAACUGCCACCAGCAUAGGUAGGCUCUCCAAAUAAUCAUUAUAGCCUAGAAUAAAGUAACAAAAACUAUUUUUAAACUACCAGCAUUUUAACAAUUUAUUUUCUGAAUUCAGUCUAUCAAGCAAUUAGCUUAGAUGGCUAUAAAACUGUGUGAGCUUGUGAACCUAUAAGUUUAGAGACACUUAUGAUUCACGAUUAGUCUUGAAAAUUUUUUAUAUAAAAAUAGUCCCAGUAAAUCACUAAGUCAAAAUGGACGAACUGGUUCGAUGUGUGUGUAUGUGUAUGUCUAGGUACACAGCUGUGUGUGUGUCUAGGUGUGUAGCUGUGUGUGUGUCCACACACAUUUUGAAAAUCAACAGGUUAGCAGAAACAGGAUGACGAAGGAAGAAUGAGAAAAAGAGAUAGUUAUAAAGAGUCACUGAUAAUAAGCAAAACAUUCUUAGGAUAUGUGGGUGUAUGUAAUCAGUGGCCUUUUUGUACAAAUACAUCUUUUUUGACAUAUUAGCUUCCAUCGACAUCAACCGAAGCUGAUUUCAGAAUGUCAAGGAGAACUAGUGAGAAGUAAAAGUGACUGUAAAAGUAGUGGAAGUAGAAGCAGUGAAGAUGUAGAGAAGUUUGUGAAAGAAGUAAAAUAGACGUAGAUGGUCAUCACAUUUAAAUAAAGGUUAGUCAUGCACUUUGAACAGACACUGGUUAAAGAUAUUUAGGAAAAUAGAAUGGAUUUUAAAUUUUAAUUGGGGAAGCUGAUUGUAAAGAAGAAGGAGUAAAAGCAAAUACCAGAAUAAAAACACUAGAGAGGGAAACUAUUUCGUUAUUAGUUUCAGCUAUCUCCGAAUGUGUGUUUAGGUUUCAACUUCAGCAGGAGACAUCAAAUUUAUUCAGAAGAAGAGCUAAAUUGAUGAUGGCAUAUCAAUUCAAAAGCUAUGCUUUUUGAAGCUUUUUGGGAAAGACAUUCUCCUGUGUGCUGUCUUUUCACUCCCACUGGGCCACAUAAGAAUGGGCAUGGAACCCUUCCUUACCAGUAGGUAAGGGGGCCCACACAGGAAGUACUGGGCUUAUGGCCUUAUGUGGGAAUAUCUUUUGCUGUUUCAGAAUCAACGUGUAGUUCUUUGUUCUGCUUAAGUGGGUGUUUCAAUAGUCCUCAGACAUGUCCUCUCCCCACAAUUUUUUUUCAGAUACCAUAGAGGAGAGGUCGAGGUCCUUCCACUGAAGCACCAAGUGGGGUAUAUAAAGCCACACUGCCCAUGAGGGCUGUGGUGUGAGUCUGCUAGCCGUGAGAGACAGAUGCAUUACAAAGGGAUGGAUUUAGUGCACUCUUUCCUCUCUUACUCACAGCCUGAACAGCCAGUGAACAAUGAAACAAAACUUCUUCCCAAGCCUCAAUGAGGAUUGUGCCAUAGUUUGAAGGCCAAAGAACAAUGGUCAAUCCAGCAAUCAACUCAUUUUGGCUGAUUUGUGCCUUUAGUCCAGGCUUCUCAGUUGUACCACACAGCCGUUCUUCUCUUCAAUUUCAGGGUCAUUCCUUCAGGAAUUCUGUCAGGAAUAAGCAGCAAGUUUCCUACUGCUCUGGGUCCUCCUUAGACCCUUCUUAUUUCAUGUUCAGAGGAAUGAACUCCACAUCCUGUCCUAAACUCCACCUUCCUUCUAUUAUUUUUUCAUAUUUGACAUUGAUACUCAUUGAAACUAGAAUCUGAAUUAUUACCACCAAAGAUAUUACCUUUUUUUUUGCACCGGAGAGCUUAAUCUUUAAAAUGUUCUGUGAGAGAUGGGAAUGGUGUACUAUCUUUCUAGUGUGGCAAAAGAAGAGAGAGUAACAAAAUAAUUGUGUUCAUAUUAAGAUUAUUUGAAUAUAAAUAUUUUGCCAAAUUUGUAUUUAGGUGUCCAUGUUAUUUUUAAUAAUUGGAUUGAUAUAAGUAGAUCUUAAGAAAUAUCAAAAAAAACCGUUUUGUCAAAUUGGAGUCAAGGAGGCAUGGAAAUUCUCUUCAUUUGCAGUACUCCUAAAUUCCUGCUUAUUCUGUGGUUGAAUUUAUAUCAACAAAGAGAAUUGGAGAUUAAGGCAAUUAAUCAGAAAUUUUAAUUAAAAAAGGAAUGGAAAAAAUAAGUAAAAUUUCCUAUAGAAUUCUAGGGUUUGACAUCUACACAGAUAUAUUCAUUAGGUAGAAUAAUAAGUCUUUUCUUUGCUCUUAUGAAAAUAUUGUUCUCUAAUUGUCAAUGAGCAUAAAGUAAAAUGAAGAUAGAUUAUACAAAUAUCCUUAUUGAUUAAAAGUUUAAAAUUGCCAGUGCCCAAGAAAUAUGCCUGAAUUCAAGGAUAUCUUAUUGCAAAGAAUAUCUUACUGCAGUUUGUUUUUUUUCCUUACUGUAAAUAAAGGGUCAACCAACAGCUAAUAACUCACAACUGCAUCUUUUCUUGUUAGAACAUGUCGCCCAGCACUUUUUGAUUAGAUGUUCUCAGAUAAUAGCUGGGGCAGAUUGACCAAAGGAGAGCAAUUUUUUUUUUAAUCAGGAUAACAUAAUGAUUCCAUCACAAACUUUAGAAAGGGCUAUGGAUAUCACCAAUUUUCUUUUUUUGUCUAUUAUUAGUGCUGUAUCUUUAGUGGAAUUGAAGACAUGACCUUCUGCAGGUUUCAAUACAACUUUAUAAAAGGCUGUAACAAUGCCUUUAAAAUCAAAUCUAUUAACUGUUCUACAGAGAAGCCAGUUUUCUAGUAACUUGGCCAUAACUUAAAGACAGGGACCCUGAAAACACCAAGCAUCUGCCUGCAAUCUGAAUUAUCUCCCUGACUAGAUUCAGUAAUCUUGGCUCUUCCCUGCAUUUAAGUCAUUUUGUGUACAUCAAUUUUCUCACCUAUGAAAGAAGAGAGUUGUCCAACAUGUUCUGAUGUUCUUUCAGUUCUGAGUUCUUUGGAUAAUUUGAUUGGAGCCCAAGAGAUGUCCUAAAUCUGACUGGCAUGCAGUAAAUGUUUGUUGAUUGUGAAAAAAUAUUUGACUUCCAAAUGGGUUGUAAAAUAUCUCGUGUGGACAUACUGCAGCAAGUUAACACUUAUAAUUUUGGGAGCAGAAUAAAUGUAAUUAAGUCACAAAUGCAAAUGAAUUCUCUGCUUAUUUAAUUCAAAGAGAAAUAGUUGUCUAAAAACAAUCUGACCCAUAUACUGGUUGAAAAUAGUAAGCAUUAUUUUUUUAUGAAGGGCCAAGUAAGUGGCUUACAUAUAUUAAAUGUAAUAAAUGUAUUCAAAAAGAUUUUCACCUAGUUGAACUGCAUUUAUACUUCAUGAAUAUCACUAGUGUAAUCAUUACUUUAAAAACAUAUAGCUGGAGAAAUAAGCAUUUAGACAGGUAAGAAAACAGACUGAAGUUUUAAAUUUUAUUUUUAACAGUCAUUCUAAAAGAAUUAUUUAUCAUUAUAUAUUUGUAUGACUGUUAAAAGUUGAAACAGAAAACAUGGAAGUAUGCUUUUAAUUGAUCAUUGUUAUAUAUAGAGAGUGAAUUAAAAAAUUUAUGCAUAUAAAGUUACUAAUAAUUUUUUGAGCACAUAUAGUUUCCUACAUACUUACCUAUAUCUAUUCUUUAAUCCUUGUAACAGCCCCAUGAACUAUCUACUAUUAUUAUCAUCAUUCCAUCUUGCAGGUGAGGAAGCUGAGGUCUAGAGAAGUUCAUUAAUUUGACUAAAGGCACACAGUCAAUAAAUGGUAGAGCCAAGGUUUGAACCCUGGCAUUCUGGUUUUAUGCUUUUAACCAGCUGCUUAUUAUUGGUAUCUUAUUGUGAUGAUUUUGGAAAACACUACUAAUUUAUUUGAAAUGUAUUAAU